rnacentral:misc_RNA from 1 species
GACGCUUGAGGGAUGUUCCAAUGCUAUAAGGAUAGGCACUGGAAAUGUUAACCGAGUCAUAAUCAAGCUUAGGCUUGGUAUCCUAUUAUUAUUUACCAAAAGAAUUCAGAAUUAAUAUUGUAACAUAGACGUAAAAAAUCUAUAAAACAACUUUUAACAACGGAUCUCUUGGUUCUCGCAUCGAUGAAGAACGUAGCAAAGUGCGAUAACUAGUGUGAAUUGCAUAUUCAGUGAAUCAUCGAGUCUUUGAACGCAACUUGCGCUCAUUGGUAUUCCAAUGAGCACGCCUGUUUCAGUAUCAAAACAAACCCUCUAUCCAACUUUUGUUGAAUAGGAUGACUGAGAGUCUCUUGAUCUAUUCUGAUCUUGAACCUCUUGAAAUGUACAAAGGCCUGAUCUUGUUUGAAUGCCUGAACUUUUUUUUAAUAUAAA